AUUUGCAACACAAAGCUGAAUAUACACCACAGACUAGCCAAUAAAUACAUAGCAUACUUUGUUUCAUGUAAAUUACUUCCCUGUAUGGCCUUCAUUAAAUAGAAUGAAGACAGUAUUAGAAGUACCUGACAGUAUUGAAUUGCUUUUCACCUUUUACAUUAUCCUUCUUGAAAGCAUGGCUUUGAAACUGUUGAUAAAUUUCCUCAUUGUGUUCCCAGCAUGCACUACUUCAGAAAUUACAAUUACUCAAUCUGCUGCUCAAGUGAAAAGACCAGGGGAAAGGAUGAGGUUCACCUGUACAGUUUCUGGAUUUUCUCUUGGAAGCUCUGGAAUAAGCUGGAUCCGCCAGGUCUCAGGAAAGGAACUGGAAUGGAUCGGAGACAUCUGGCAUAAUGGAGGCACUGCUUAUAGCACUAUCUUUCGAAGUCAGGCCAGCAUCACAAAAGACAAUUCUAGGAGCCAAGUGAUCUUGCAGCUCAAUGCUUUAAAGGCUGAAGACACAGCUACAUAUUAUUGCAUAAGACACAAUGACAGGAACCUUCCUUCAAGCUGGUCAAAACUACCGCUGUUCAAAUUUAAGCACAGUCAUUCUCUUGUGUGUGUCCAACAGGCAGAUGGAGGAACUUAA